rnacentral:rRNA from 1 species
AAGGAGAAUUCAUUCGCGUUUCGAAACACACGGACGGUCCUGCGACGGAAAGUGUUCGCAUUUUCCGCGCGUUCUCGUUCGUUCGUAUCGUUUGCGAACGCGUGCACUUUUCUCCCGGUAGGACGUCGCGAUCCGUCGGGUGUCGAUUUACGGUUGACGGUGGAGCCCGUGAGCUUAGUUUUCGGACGACGCUUACGGACCCGUCAUACCCGAUCGACUCGCUCGACGGUAUGAAAAUAACGGUUCGGGGCCGCUCUUGGGAGCGUUCGACUCGCGGCAAGCGCGCCGGCCUCUACGGCGAUCGGACCUAGUGCCGAUUCCGUUAACCGGUGACUGUUGGCCGUCGAUGUUCUCGAACAGACCCUUUCGUAACCGAUCGGCGAACGCUAUUGAUUUGGUACUUUCAGGACCCGUCUUGAACACGGACCAAGGAGUCUAGCAUGUACGCGAGUCAUUGGGAUUUAUACUAAACCUAAAGGCGUAAUGAAAGUAAAAAUCUUUCUCGCAAAGAUUGAGGGAAGACGAGCGGUCACGAUUUAGCAAUAGAUCGGCCGUUCCGCAUUCCCGGGGCGUCUCGUUCUCAUCGCGAGAUGAGGCGCACCAAGAGCGUACACGCUGGGACCCGAAAGAUGGUGAACUAUGCCUGGUCAGGACGAAGUCAGGGGAAACCCUGAUGGAGGUCCGUAGCGAUUCUGACGUGCAAAUCGAUCGUCGGAACUGGGUAUAGNNNNNNNNNNNNNNNNNNNNNNNNNNNNNNNNNNNNNNNNGGGCGAAAGACUAAUCGAACCAUCUAGUAGCUGGUUCCCUCCGAAGUUUCCCUCAGGAUAGCUGGCGCUCGUCGCGUACGAGUCUCAUCCGGUAAAGCGAAUGAUUAGAGGCAUUGGGGUCGAAACGACCUCAACCUAUUCUCAAACUUUAAAUGGGUGAGAUCUCCGGCUUGCUUGAUUGCGAUGAAGCCGCGAGAUUUACGGAUCAGAGUGCCAAGUGGGCCAUUUUUGGUAAGCAG